UACGGAGGGAGCUAGCGUUGUUCGGAAUUACUGGGCGUAAAGCGCACGUAGGCGGCUACUCAAGUCAGGGGUGAAAGCCCAGGGCUCAACCCUGGAACUGCCUUUGAAACUAGGUAGCUAGAAUCUUGGAGAGGUCAGUGGAAUUCCGAGUGUAGAGGUGAAAUUCGUAGAUAUUCGGAAGAACACCAGUGGCGAAGGCGACUGACUGGACAAGUAUUGACGCUGAGGUGCGAAAGCGUGAGGAGCAAACAGG
rnacentral:rRNA from 1 species